ACCAAUUGCCGGUUAUUGUUUCUUUACCGGUGGAGUCUAGUUCCUUCCGGUUUAUUUUAUAACUUUUGUACUUUGUUUUGCUUUUGCCAAAUAAUCUCAUCGGAUCUAUGGUUAGUGAUGACGCUUUAUCAUACGCGUUACAGUGGUUCUUCUCAGCCUAUGUCCUUUGAGUUUUUUUUCUUAGAUCUGAGUCGGUUCUUGUCUCUUAAAGAUGGGUUUUACCGGAUCGGUUUCUUAUCAACUCGGUUUGCAGAAUCGUUUCAAAGAGAUUUCGAUAUUUUGUUGAAGAUGGAAGUUUCUUCUGUUGCUUAUCUCAAUGCCUUAAGUUGUUACCUUUAAAUUGGAGCUUCAAUGUGUUCAAUUCGGUGGUAAACACAAGAGUCAUCGCACGAUUUCCUCUCGGCGAGGAUUUCUCACCGGAAUCGGCGCUCAACGGCUAAAGUUCUCGCCAGAAAUCUUUUGAUUACUCAUCAGUGAUAGCGAAAUUAUGAAGGUCGAUAUCAAUUAAAGACAAAUCUCGGCGUGAACGACAGAUGCAAUUAUCUCAUGGAGACCCGAUAACAACUUAUCGGACAUGAAUCAAUUUGAUCGCAUAGGUAAGAGAAUUUUAUCGUUAUUUGUUUUUAGUAAUUAUCGAUUCUUUUCAUCAAAUCGAAUUUUUAUUUGCGAAUAAGAGUUUGAUAUGAAAAUAGACUUCAAUGUUGCAUCUCUCAAAUGAUAUUUUUAAAUCUCCUCAUCGAUCUCCAAUCUCGCCUUCUCCAAUCUUCUCCAAUACUACUGGAUUGCUCGGUAAAUUUCGCCAUCGCCCAUUCAAGUGUUACGGUAGAGAUUUCAGUCCCAGCGAGCAUCAUUGCCUUCACAACAAAUCAGAGAAGAGUUGAUGAAGGCUUCAAAGAGUGUGGAAUUGUUCUCCUCUACUUUGGGGUAAGAUUGUUAUGUUUCAUUAAACCCUACAAAAAGCAGAUUCAAGAGAAACAAAACCACAUAAAAUUUGACUGCGAUACUUGAGAAAUCUGACUGUUAGAACUGCUAGAUAAUACGCGUUGAAAAAAAAAAAGAUGUAUAAGACGCAAAUUCUUCACAUUUUGACAAUUUUCAUUUUUGUCACAGAAACAAAAUUCAGGCUUCUUCAUUAUAGGUUGAGAGAUCUGUUUUUAUUUUUUUA